AUUCUGUAAACGAUUAGCAAAAACAAUUAUCACCACUUUCCUUCAAUUUUUAUUCCUACGGAGCGUCGAAUGGAACGAGAGAGUGAAACAACGAGAGUUUUAUGUACCGUUCGCUUCCUGUAAGGACACGCUCGUCGUUCCACGCGACAUGCGUUCAUACUGUAUGUACGUUGCGCGCGCAUAAUAAACAAUAAAUCAAUUUAAUCGUGUUAGAUGAAUUUAACGCGUUUAAUCUUUGGCUCGAUCGUAAGUAUUUUGCGCGUAUUUUAUUCAACGAUAUCGAAGAAUCGUACGAGACGAAGACGGAAAAAAGAUACAGGUUUCGCGUUCCAGGUUAAUGGAUCGGUUUGCCGCGGCGCAAAAGAUAAAAUCGCGCGUUACGUGUACGAUCGUGACAAUUUCCGGCGUUUCUCGAAUCAUCGUCGAAUUAAUCGAGAGAGAAUUGUGAACUUUCGAUCGAGUUGAAUUUCAAGUGAAUUUCGUUCCGUCCAAGAUGGGCGUGUGUGUUUUAUUACUCGACGAUAAUCGAGGAGACGACGAGGAGAUAAAGGAAAGAGAUAAAGGAAAAAUAUUACACGAGUAAGAACGGUGUCAACGUUUAUGCAGUUGUUUAUGCGAACUGUCGAUACAAUAACGAGAGUAUUGUGUGCCUAAAAUAUAUACAUAUACAUAUAUAUAUAUAUUUCGUUGGCAUUGCAAAAUAUAACGGAUAAAGGAAACGUGAUAAAAUUCGUGGAGAGCAUAUCGUUGGAAUAAUCGUUGGAGAACAGGUGUCGGGUAGAUUUUCUGAUUUAUACACUUUAUUGAAAUGUUACCACCACACAAGGCAAGCAAACGUAGAUAUCUUUGAACGAGCGAAAUAUUCAUUUUUGACGAUAAUAAGUAGGAACGUCGAGUUAUCGCUAUCUAUACGGCAAUAUAUAUAUAUAUGUACACCUUUGUUAAAAAGAAAAAAAAAAAAAAA